GUCACAACUGUUGUCUAGCGCGCAAGCACAUUCCCCAAGAAAGGCAGGGCUCCUGUGUUGCCAGGGGGCGUGAGAGCGAAGAAUGUCAUUUUCCUUCAUCUAUAUGAUCUUCAGAAGCAUUCUGAGAGGCUGGAGAAACCCAAUGUGGGUGACGAGGCCACCCGUCUCACAAAACCAAGAAAGUGCCUGGCGCCAUGUUUAAGACUGAGUUGUUCUGACAUUGGAAGAGAUGGAAGACAACCAGCAGUGAUCAGUGAUCUGCAGCACUGUAUUCAUCCCAAGGCUAUCAAGUAAAGACUCUACCCUUCUUAGGAUAAAGUGGAACAGCUCAAUUCUAGUUCCCUGAAUGUCAUU